GCCUACAUGAUUAGGAGGUUGAGAGGUCCCAUGAUCUGCUAUCUGCAGGCUGGAGACUCACCAAAGCUGGUAGUGUCAUUCUAGUUCGAGUCCAAAGGGCUGAGAACCACGGGAGCUAAUUGGGUAAAUCCAAGUCAAAGGGAAGGGGAAGAAAAAUGUAGCUCAGCUCAAGCAGGCAGGCAGGAAGAAGAAAAAAAAGAAUAAAUUUCUCUUUCUUCCUUCUGUGUUAUUCAGGCCCUCAAAGGAUUGAAUGAUGCCAACCCACACUGGAGAGAGCAAUUUACUUACUGAGUCCACAGAUUCAGCCAUCUGGGAACAUCCAGAAAUAAUGCUUAACCAGAUAUCUGGGAAUACUCUGGUCUAAAUUGACACAUAAAAUUAACUAUCACAGCUAGAAAUGGAAGGAUCAAGGGAAUUUUAAUCAAAUCUCAUAUCAGUGUAAAACAACAGCCAAAAUCAGUAACUACCUCUCCACAUUUCAGUAAAGCACACUAACAUUAAGGGCUUAAUUUAGAGUAAUGACAGAAACAAGAGUCAAACUAGCUCAAUCAGAAUGUGGAGUCUCCACAAAAUCAAAAGAAAAACAGCUUCAGGAAUCAAAGGGAUCACUGGAACCCAGGAGUCACACAUAAGACUCACUGCUCAUCUCUGUUCUCUUCUUCCUGCACACGAGCUUUAUGCUCUCCUAUACAUAUUAGUUUGUUUUAUACCAUCAGGCACAUGGCCACAUGAAUGUAGAUUUCUACAUUCAUACCUCAAUUAGAUAAGUAAUACAUGAAGGCAGCAAAAUUACAAGAACAAAACAUAAAAUGGAAAGCAAAAGACUUCCUCUCAAAUUUUAAGAAAAUACGCAAAGAAAUUUUAUCAGAAGGACAAGAAUUUCCAAACUGUAAAUGGUCAAAAGUGCCUGGCAUAAUGAAUGAAAGAAAAAAAGAUAUUAUGUGAUUUUACCACGUGAGUGAAAAAGAUCUCUAAAUCUCUCAGGGCAGGGCGGGGAGGGGGAAGAAGAAGGGAGGCAUCUAUGAAGAGAAAUGAGAAUUGCAAAGCCUUUUGACUUCUGAAUAAAAUGCUUGGUACCGGAAAGCAAUAUGUAGUCCGAAGCCGAGAAUUCUACACACAUACAAAUUAUCACUCACAAGGGAAGAAAGACUAAAGAUAGUAGUUUCGAAUCCUUGCAUGAUUGAAAAAAUAUCUCCCAUGCUCUCUUUCUUAUUUACCAAAAAGCGUUUUUAAAUAAGGGAAUAAGGAAAAAAAAAAAAAAAAGGAAAGCACAGAUCAACAAAACAUCUAAUCCAGGCUCUCCUUUUUGGUUUCCAAAAUUUGAUAUUUAAACUACUGGAAAUUGAUUUAGAGCAUAUACCACAUCUUGAAGAACAGACUAGAGAAGAGCAGGCAAAAAGAAUCCCAAGCCAAGAGCUAGAGCAACAGGUCUAGUUUGGAGCAGGAAGAUGUAUGAGUGUGCAAGAGUGGUCCUCAGUAAGGAGAAAUAAAAACUGAUAGAGAUUUUGAAACUGCAUUUGAGCAUUUGGGUAAAUAACCACAGGGUGACUGACUGAGCUGUAUGUGUAUUUAAAAAGAAAAUACUAAAUAUACAGAAAAUAAUUAUAAGCAACAUAAAAAAUGAAAAGUUAUAAAAGGCAAGGAAACAGGUAUAAGCACAUUCAUUGAAUCAGCAAGGAGCAAUAUUUUCAUAAACACGUAAAACACUAAAUUAAUGAUAAAUGGUAAUAAGGUUGUGUUGAGAAGAAUAAGUAGGUGGUAAAGAAGUUAACCUUUACUCCAAAGAGAAGUCUCAGAUAAUAUCUAAAUAUAGCAGUGUACACAUAUGAUUUUUUUAAAAAUUGAUUUAAAUAUGAAUGAAAAUAAGAGUUGAAAGUGAUUGCCUUCAUAAAAUUUAUAGAAUGGUUUAUUAACUAUGUUCACUUUAUUUGAUAAAAAUAAAAAUUAAUAAAAAAGUUGUCUUCUUCACUCCAUUUGUACUACUCAGAGACAACCACUGAUAGCAGUGUCCAUUUUAUUCAUUUUACUGCUUGCUAUUUAAGUAAUCUGCCUACAUUGUACAGUUUGAUUUAUCAAAAUUUGAGAUGAUUCUCAUAUGCAAAAUAUGAGGAAUUUCAAACAUUUGUGCUAUCUUCCAAUUUUUCUGCUCCUCUCAAUUUUUUAGUUAUAUUAUUGUUUAUUCAUAUAUUCAAAAACAUUUAUUGAACCCCUGGCUAUAUUCCAGUCCCUUAGGAUACAUAAAUGAACAAAAUAAAUAUUUCUGCCAUUUUGUAGUUUACAUUCUAGAAGAACAAAAAAUAAACAAACAUUGAAUUUAAGCAAAUAAUAUGCUAAUAUUGGAAGAUGAUAAUGAUGUAUCCUUCUUAGGCCAUAGAUGUUGCAGUUCAUCAUUAUUGCUAGGCACAGAAGAACCAAGAGAUGCCCCAGUGAAUCUCUUAGCUUCCAGACAAAUGCUUCCCAGCACCCAUUGUGUAGCAUCAUCCAUGACUCAUCAUGGCAACCAGAGUCAAUCAUCCUGGCCAGUAUGCUAACCCCUUUCUUAGUCUGAUGGUCCACUGGCAUGAUGACUUGAAAGUGUCUAGGUGUGGUAUUCAUACCUGCAAGUUCAGUAGAUCCUUUACUGUGUUCUCUGUUAGAAACAAGCUUUUGGAAAUAUAGAAAUGACUAUGGUUUCAGGCACAGAAAUAGCAUCUCUACACAGGGGCCACUGUGGGUGGCAUUAAGAGAAGGUAAUCUUCUAUUCCUUUGGUUCCCAAAGUAAUAUAUUCCAGUUAUUGGGAAAACACUAACGUAUAUCCUAAUAUACGUUAUAUCCUAAUAUACUUGGUUUAGUACGUGUACCACAGCCUGGAAUACAUCAGUCCUAACCCUCAGGGUUUUGUCCUCAAGCUGAUUUUUUUUUUAACCUGAGCCUAUAAUGGAUUAUUUUGCCAUUAUUCUUCUGGGUUAUGAGGUAUAUGGAAAGACAAAUAGAUCUCAAGUCAUGAGCCAAUUAUCACAUGUCUUGCAUAUAAAAUGUGUUGUCUCUAACUAUGUUGCAUAAAAUGUUUAUGACAUUCUUUAAGUUCUGGAAAGGUGAAGCUUGCAGAGGCACUGUGGACAGACAAGAAAAAUACAUGUCUUUAUAAGAAUAAAAUUGCUGCCUUACAGAUGGAAGAGAUAAUCUGCCACUAAGUGGCUAGAUUAUGUCCUCAAAGGAUAGUAAUAUACUAAGAAGUCAGCAUGGUCUCUGUUGCUGGCAUGCUGGACAUUCAAGUAUCAUUUGCUAGUUCAACUCUGGCAAGAAGAAGUCCUUGCUAUCAGUCCUCACAGGCCAUGGGCAGCACAUUGCGCCAGCACUAUAAGGGCCAAGUGCAAGGCUGGACUAUCUCACAGGACAGGAAGUCAUCCUAUCUUUCCACUUAUUGAUGACUUCUCUGCAUGUGUAGACUAUCUGUUGGACAUAAACCUCAAAAAUCUACAUCUUGUAUCCACUCUCCUAAGACUAUCCGCACUCCAAUUUUUCAGACAAGCUUGUCUUGAAUCUUCAGAUUUUAUUCCUUCAAGGCUUCUGACUAAACACUCUGACAUCAUUAGUCACUUGCCAGGUGUCCACAUAUAUCCAUACUGCAGGCCACUUCAUACAUGCAAAAUGAACUUCUAAGUAUACUGGUCACAGCUCUUUCUCCUAGGGGAAUUGCUCUUAGCCAAAUGGACUGAGUGAAUACUGAUGGUGACAGUUUACUUAUGGCUAGCACCAAAAUGGUGUUCAGUUCUGACUCAUGUGAGAACUGGACUCAAGUGUUUUCUUCUCUUCAGUUGAUCAUAGGAUGUAACCCAGAAGUAGGGUGACUUUAUACCCAGCUUGCCAGGGAUAAUUCCAGCAUAUGCCAGGUAUCACAAAGUAAUUAAUAGCAUUAAAUUUUACUCUCAAAUGCAUCUCAGUUUGGAUAAUUCAUUAUAAGGUCACUGUACUUAAGAGACCAGAAAUAAAAUUGAGAAAGAGGCAUCAAUAUAGCACAAGUACAUGUCAUGGACUGUAUGUUUAUGUAAUUUACUGAUAUAUAUUUGAACCUGCUCAGCCUUGAUUCCAAAUACUCCAUUUCUACCUUUUGAUGGAUUGAUGCUAUGCUCAUCUGUUUUUUGAUAGGUAUAAUCAAAUACAGGUCACGAUAAAAGCUGCAGUUACAUAGUUAUUUGAUGUUUCAUGGUCAGACACUUGGUCUUUACCAAGGCCCAAUAAUAUAUCAAGAGCCACUUUUGAAAUGGUUAACAAUUCUCUGUUGCAGAAGAAAAGGCCUUGCUGUAGAAUCCUAGAAGUCUGUGACUCAUCUCUGUACUGGGGAUUGCCAUAGAUAACACAAAGCAUCCUUUACUAUCAUGAAAACGUCUAGCACUAUCAGAUAUUCUACGGUAUAAACCUGCCAUACACCUUCUCCAUGCUAUGGGACCUGCUCUAAAUUGACAGUCUUCCGAUACACUCAAUAAAUGGCACUGAGCAUUAUUGCCAGGCAGCACAAUGCAGGAACAGAUACUCUCUGCUUGCAGGAAAGAGAGGAAUGUGAGCACAGGACUUUGUUUUGGACACCAACACCAAGCUUGCCUCAGUGUAAAGCCCAGCACUGAGCAGGCCACCACAGCCCCAGAAUCCUGGCUGGCACCUGAAGACUGAGCCUACAGACCUGUCCCAGCACCAAGCAGGACCCCCAAAGCCCCAGACUUCAGGUAAGAAAGGUGGAGUCAAUCCCGGGUUUAUACCAUCACUGGACAAACUUCAGCAGCCCCAGGAUCUGGAAAUACCUCAGCAGCAGCAGGCCUCAGUAGCCGCAGGCUUCUAGCUCAUCCCAGUGGCCCUAGGCUUUUAUCCUACCUCAGCGUUGUGCUGGCCUCAGCAACCUUGGGCUUUGGGACUAUGCCAGACAGCCUUCCAAGAAUUUCUAGAUGGGCUGACUGGUGAAGGGAAUUCCCAGAUAAAGCCAGUCUACGAAGACUGCAAUGACGUAAAUGCAUGACCACAACAAUAAAGAAUAAAGAAAAAUAGUAUAAACAAAAAGAUAAAGUGCCAAUGACAUGCCCCCCCCAAAAAAAAUGAGACGUAUAAACUUCCUAAAAAGGAAUUCAAAAUAACUAUUUUAAGGAAGAUCAGAGAACAAGAAAAUAGAGAAACUCAAUGGAAAUACAGAGGAAUUCAAUGACAUGAGGAAAGAAAUAAAUGACCAUAAUUAGAAAAUUAACAGAAAUUAAAAUAAUAAAAUAUCAAACAGCCUGCAGCUGAAAAAUACAGUGAAAAGUCCAGUAGACAGCAUCAACAGAAAAAUUGAUCAAGCAGACGAAUGAAUCUCUCAACUUAAAGACAGAUUAGAAAGCUUACUUUUAAAAAAUAAUAGCAGAAAACUUUCCAAACCUGGAGAAAGAUAACUAUCCAGGUAAUGUAAGGACAAUGCUCACCAAAAAGAUUCAACUCAAACAACACUACCUCAAGAUAUACUAAAAUGAAACUGUCAAAAAUCAAAGACAGAGAAAGGAUCCUGAAAGCAGUGAGAGUAAAGAAGCAAACAACAUAUAAGGAAGUUCCUGUAUGGCUAGCAGACAACUUCUCAGCAGAAGAAGGCCAGGAGAGCAUGAGAUAAUCUAGUUAAAGUGCUAAGGAAAAAAUGACAACCAAGCAUACUGUACCUAGCAAAACUAUCCUUCACUAAUGAAAGUGAUAAAGAUUUUUCCAGACCCCACCUCUGCCAAAAAAAAAAAAAAAAAAA
rnacentral:lncRNA from 1 species